UGGGGAAUAUUGGACAAUGGGCGAAAGCCUGAUCCAGCCAUGCCGCGUGUGUGAAGAAGGUCUUCGGAUUGUAAAGCACUUUAAGUUGGGAGGAAGGGCAGUAAGCGAAUACCUUGCUGUUUUGACGUUACCGACAGAAUAAGCACCGGCUAACUCUGUGCCAGCAGCCGCGGUAAUACAGAGGGUGCAAGCGUUAAUCGGAAUUACUGGGCGUAAAGCGCGCGUAGGUGGUUCGUUAAGUUGAAUGUGAAAGCCCCGGGCUCAACCCGGGAACUGCAUCCAAAACUGGCGAGCUAGAGUAGGGCAGAGGGUGGUGGAAUUUCCUGUGUAGCGGUGAAAAGCGUAGAUAUAGGAAGGAACACCAGUGGCGAAGGCGACCACCUGGGCUCAUACUGACACUGAGGUGCGAAAGCGUGGGGAGCAAACAGG
rnacentral:rRNA from 1 species